AGAGAGAGAGAGAGAAGGAAAAAGGAAAAGGGUGAGAGACAAGUGUAGUCUUGAAGAACAAUAGCACUAAUGGGAAUUAAAAUUGAAUCCCAGUUUUUCCUUUUACUUGAAAAAGAGGUCCCUUGCUUGGUAGAUCAGUUUCGUUAUGUGAUGAAAAAUAAAAGAAUUGGAAAAAAGAGACAAGGGUGGCAACGAAGUAAGCAAGCGAGCAUUCAUGGAGGAUCUGUAAACUUUUUUUUUAUUUGCUUUUGAGUUACUCUAGACAGAUGAAAGCGGUGAGUAGAAUAAUAUGAUAGAGUUUAGAGUAUAAUUAUCAGAGUUUGAAUAGGGUGGGGGGGGGGGGGAGGAGAGAGAGAGAGAGAGAGAGAGAUUCAGUACGUGUAGGUGUAGGGUUGGGAAUCGUGGGAGUAAGAAGACAAGUUGGUCAACUUUUUG
rnacentral:lncRNA from 1 species